CUACUGUCUAUUUUUUUUUCCUUCCCCAUAAGCCUAAGGUGUGGGGGAGGCUCCCUCUCUGGAGGAGCAGGUCAGAAGACCUCCAUGCAAAAGCAGGGACUCCCUGGCUGACCCUGUUCUCCCUCUGCAAAAUAAAGGAACCCCACCGGUGCAGAACCGUGCCACUGCACCCAUAAGACAGCCCCGAGGCUCCUGGCAGACCCUAUUGGGAAUUACACAGCAAGAUGGCUUUCCCUACUCCAUCAUGGCUAGAGCCUCUGCAAGGGCUGAAGCCCAUUGAUCUUGGCUUCAUUUGGAUACAUUUCAAGGGCCUUACAGGCUUUGGGCAAGUGCCGAAGUUCACUCAUUUUCUAUUGGUUGUUUCUCCCCAUGAAAGACAUUGAACAUAAGUGGUGUGGAAUAAUGUUAAGCUUCUCUGACGGGUCCUAAAUGGUUGAAGAACACCCCUCAAGAGAUGGAAAGAUUCUAAGAGCCAGAGAGAAUGGAUUACUCCAAGGAAACACAAUGGGACUGAUGACCACAUGAACUCUUAGAGACUGUAGCAGCUUGCACCAGGCCUGU
rnacentral:lncRNA from 1 species